UCCUGGUGGCUUAGACGGUUAAGCGUCUGUCUACAAUGCAGGAGACCUGGGUUCGAUCCCUGGGUCGGGAA
rnacentral:tRNA from 1 species